rnacentral:rRNA from 1 species
UACAGAGGUCCCAAGCGUUGUUCGGAUUCAUUGGGCGUAAAGGGUGCGUAGGCGGCGUGGUAAGUCGGGUGUGAAAUCUCGGGGCUUAACUCCGAAACUGCAUUCGAUACUGCCGUGCUUGAGGACUGGAGAGGAGACUGGAAUUUACGGUGUAGCGGUGAAAUGCGUAGAUAUCGUAAGGGAAGACCAGUGGCGAAGGCGGGUCUCUGGACAGUUCCUGACGCUGAGGCACGAAGGCCAGGGGAGCAAACGGG